GAAUUUUGGACAAUGGGCGCAAGCCUGAUCCAGCCAUGCCGCGUGUGUGAAGAAGGCCUUCGGGUUGUAAAGCACUUUCGGACGGAACGAAAUCGCGCGGUCGAAUAUUCCGCGUGGAUGACGGUACCGUAAGAAGAAGCACCGGCUAACUACGUGCCAGCAGCCGCGGUAAUACGUAGGGUGCGAGCGUUAAUCGGAAUUACUGGGCAUAAAGGGUGCGCAGGCGGCCCCGCAUGUCAGGUGUGAAAUCCCCGGGCUUAACCUGGGAAUUGCAUUUGAAACUAUGGGGCUCGAGUGUGGCAGAGGGAGGUGGAAUUCCACGUGUAGCGGUGAAAUGCGUAGAUAUGUGGAGGAACACCGAUGGCGAAGGCAGCCUCCUGGGCCAACACUGACGCUCAUGCACGAAAGCGUGGGGAGCAAACAGG
rnacentral:rRNA from 1 species